UACAGAGGGUGCGAGCGUUGUUCGGAAUUACUGGGCGUAAAGCGCGCGCAGGCGGCCUUUUAAGUCUCGUGGUGAAAUGCCGGGGCUCAACCCCGUGCCCGCCGGAGAUACUGGGAGGCUGGAGACAUGUAGAGGCAAGCGGAAUUCCGGGUGUAGUGGUGAAAUGCGUAGAGAUCCGGAGGAACCCCAGAGGCGAAGGCGGCAUCCUGGCCCACGACUGACACUCAGACACGACAGCAUGGGGAGCGAGCGGG
rnacentral:rRNA from 1 species